rnacentral:lncRNA from 1 species
UCUACCUAUGCAACCGUUCAUAAUAUUUUUGCUACGGUUAUGUAUUUCAAAGGCUUCGAUACAUUUGCGUUCUUCUUGGUAGGCUAUAUUUCUAUGUAAUAUUUUCCAACUUAUGUCGGAUUGAUCUGGUCGUCUACUCUUAUGAGAUUCUAUAUGUUUGUACACAGUUUGUUUGUCCAUUUUUAAGUGUUCCUUAAUUCGCGAUCCAAUUGUUCUACCGGUUUCUCCAACAUAUACUAUUCCGCAACUUGAACAUAUGAUUUCAUAAAUGACGUUCUUUAUCAGACACUGUUUAGGUUUACUUGCUGAUUUACAUGUUUCGCAAUCUUCCCGACAGCUUGCUCUAUCUCUGGGUGGGGCAAAUACUCGUGAUGAAGGUCUGCCGUUCAUGAAAUGAAUUUUGACAUUGUUGAUUCCUGAUCUACGUAUUACUGAAAGGGCACGUCGUUUAAGUUCUUCGUUAAUGUAGGGAAGUUUCACAUAGAUAUUUUCUCGUUUGUCAUCCUUACGUGGUUUAUUGCGUGUUGUGUGUCUUAUUAUAUCCCUAACAAACCUUCUAUAGGAUAUCCAUUGUUCACGAACAAUGUAAAGACCUUAUUAAGAGAUUCUUUACAAUGAGUGGGGUUCGUAGAGCAACCAAUGGCCCUUCUGGUUUCACCCACAAGAAUGGCCCGCUUAGAUGCUACUGACCCAUGACUAUCCCACGGCGUGAUGCAUUUGCUGUGAAUGGGUUUGGUAUAAAGUGUAGCUGAGAAAGAUUUAGCUGCGGGAUUAUAAGAUACCAAAGUGUCUAGGAAUGGCAGUUGGUUGUUAUUAGGCAUCUCUAGAGUAAACUUAAUGGCAUCGUUAAGUUCA